rnacentral:lncRNA from 1 species
GCCCUAUGACAUCAUGGUGAUGCUGUGGGAGGAAAGGGGAAGACGAAGUCACUUCUGGGAAGACAAAGUCACUUCUGAGAAAAUCUGCCACCAUGCAGCUUUUCCAACCACAAUUUGUCUAUCUGCCUCCCUCUCAAGGAGCAGAGAGCUCACCUCCCUGCCUGCCCCUUCCUUUGCAGCUACGGCGUCUCUAAUGCAAUUAACUCACCGGCCUCCAUUUCACACAUUUUGGAUGAUGUGUUACAUUCCCUGGAAAACUGGUGCUGGCUCAUGAAUAGGCAAUGGAUUGUUUCCUUCUCCCUGCCUGGAGGAGAGAAAAGAGGAAGAUGCCACAAGGAUGCCUUUCCACUUUGGGAAAAUAGUAGCUUACAAAUGCAAAUGUUGCUUUUUUUGUUUUUAUUCUUUAUGAGACUCUACAUAAGAAAGGCUUUAAAAAACAGCAUAACACAGACUCGCCUACAGAGGUUGGGAGUGAGGCGAGUGCAUAGUGAUGUGGAGGGCUGUGAGCAGCAGUCAGAGAUUAACUAGAUGUCAGGAGAAGACCUUUAGAGCUGGAGCACAAUCCUGGUGGUACGCUGAGAGAGACCAACCCAUGGAUGGGCUGAAAUGAGAAGAAUGAGAUGAGAAUUCCCCAGUGGUGAGUAAGGUCAGAAGGGUUAUCCACCUCCAAGCAGGGGUCAGGGUGACAGGGGACUGUGAUAGGACCAUGGGGUCCCUGUGCCAUGCUCGUACCAGGGCUGGGGAGCAAGGCAAGCAGGUUGUUUCUUCCCCUCUGCAAAACAUCUCACUCAGACAGUGAUUAUUUCCCUCCGAUGGGCGCUUUUGUUGGUGUUUUCCGUGCAGCCAGCUAGCCACUGCGUGAGAAAAAAAUUUCUCUUUAGUUGCAGGAGUUGGUAUACCUGGAAGUUUGACUCAAACUCACUUAGAUGUUCCAAUAACAAGAUAUUAAAGCUGUAAUGGGUGUUAUGUUAACAGGCUGUGGUGUCUGUUUUAGUUUAAGGCUUACAUCUUCUAUAGUUCAGCAUGAGGCUCUCUGUUCUUUAUGAAAAAUGCUAAAACAGCAGUGCUCUCUUAGCUCUCUGUUUAAGUAUUUUUCUUUCAGUCCUUGACUAAAGGUAUUAUUAAAAAUAGGAAGUUACAUAAAAGAUCCUGUAUCUCUUUGCCAUAAGUGUACCAAAUAGGAUUACCAACUCAACAAACAUUUAAAAUACAUUUACCCACCCUCUUACCUUCCUGAAAUUGAUGUACGCUUUAUAUCAGAGAUUAAUUGAAUU